rnacentral:rRNA from 1 species
AACGAACGCUGGCGGCGUGCUUAACACAUGCAAGUCGAACGUGAAAGGGGCUUCGGCCCUGAGUAAAGUGGCGCACGGGUGAGUAACACGUGGAUAAUCUACCCGGUACUCUGGGAUAACACUUCGAAAGGGGUGCUAAUACCGGAUAAGCCCACGGGCUCUUCGGAGCUUGCGGGAAAAGGUGGGGACCUUCGGGCCUACUGAUAUCGGAUGAGUCCGCGGCCCAUUAGCUAGUUGGUGAGGUAAUGGCUCACCAAGGCAACGAUGGGUAGCUGGUCUGAGAGGAUGAUCAGCCACACUGGAACUGAGACACGGUCCAGACUCCUACGGGAGGCAGCAGUGGGGAAUUUUGCGCAAUGGCGAAAGCCUGACGCAGCAACGCCGCGUGAGUGAUGAAGGCCUUCGGGUCGUAAAGCUCUGUCAGAGGGGAAGAACCGCCGUACGGAUAAUAACCGUGCGGUCUGACGGUACCCUCAAAGGAAGCACCGGCUAACUCCGUGCCAGCAGCCGCAGUAACAC